rnacentral:rRNA from 1 species
AUUGAACGCUGGCGGCAUGCUUUACACAUGCAAGUCGAACGGUAACAGGCCUUCGGGUGCUGACGAGUGGCGAACGGGUGAGUAAUGCAUCGGAACGUGCCCAGAGGGGGGGAUAACGCGGCGAAAGCUGUGCUAAUACCGCAUGUGAUCUGAGGAUGAAAGCGGGGGACCAGGCAGCAAUGUUUGGCCUCGCGCCUUUGGAGCGGCCGAUGUCAGAUUAGGUAGUUGGUGGGGUAAAGGCCUACCAAGCCGACGAUCUGUAGCUGGUCUGAGAGGACGACCAGCCACACUGGGACUGAGACACGGCCCAGACUCCUACGGGAGGCAGCAGUGGGGAAUUUUGGACAAUGGGCGCAAGCCUGAUCCAGCAAUGCCGCGUGCGGGAAGAAGGCCUUCGGGUUGUAAACCGCUUUUGUACGGAACGAAAAGGCUCUGGCUAAUACCUGGGGCUGAUGACGGUACCGUAAGAAUAAGCACCGGCUAACUACGUG